UAAACAGAAGUAAAUUUAAAGCACUUAUUAAACACGACUCUGCAGCAUGUUUUCUUAUUUGAUACAGAAGCACUUUUGAUUAAUUAUUAUAUGAGAAAAGACAAAAAAAAAAAAUUGCAAAAGUUAAGCCAAUUUAUAUGGAUGGAGAUCAAAUGCAGCUCGAUAGUUUAAAUCAUGAACAUCAAGAAGGAGGCAUAAGAGCAGCAUUGAUGAUAAUUCAAAAACAUGGCUACAUAACACCAAAGCAAGUUCACUCAUUUUUUACUGAUAUGGGUGAAACAUAUACUCAGAAAGAAGUAAAUAAAUUAAUAUAUGAACUAGAUAUAAGAGAUCGUGAUACAUUGGAUUUACGAGAGUUUUUAACAUUAAUCCAGCUGCAAUUAAAAGUUAACGAUACUGAAGAAGAAGUAAUUGAAGCUUUUAAAGUAUUUGAUAAAGAUCAGAGUGGUUUUUUAGAAUGUUCAGAGCUGCGUCGUAUCAUGGUAAAUUUAGGAGACAAGUUGACAGAUGACGAAGUUGAUGCAGUCAUUGUUAAAUCUGAUAUUGAUGGAGACGGAAGCUGUAACUAUGAGGUACACGAUUCACAGAUUUCUAGUACACAACUCACAGUACCAACUCUUGCAAUGACUACAUUGGUUCCAUGGCACUUCGAACUCAUUGUACAAAAUUUCACAUAUCAUACAAAAUGUUUGAUCGAUACUGCUAUUUUCACUUUCAUUUUUUGCUUUUUUUUCAUUAGUUGAAGUAUCCUAAAAUAAAAGCUAGCAUUUCAUCUUGUGGUUUAUUAAUCUUACUUGGAACCUCACUGGCAACAUAACUUUUAAGUACAGAUCUAUAUGGUGAACUGGUAACUAUAGUAGCAUGUUGAACAGAUCUUCGUUUUCUCGAUAUUUUAUUAAAAGAUACAGACUUAUCAAGCAAUUGGCCAAAUGUUUUAGUGACAUGGACUACUGCAUUGUUUUAAAAUAGAAUGUGUUUUGGUUAGAUUGGUCUGGUCAUUUGUUACUUUUUCCCGUGAAUCACUGAGUAUAAUGUUAGAAGUUUUCUGUUCUUGAUUUGUCACUGCAGCUGCUAUAAAAUCUUCAUCUGUGAAAAUGAAACAAUUAAAAGGAUGAAUUCCUGAUUUACGAAAUCCGCUCUUAGCUUUACUCACUGAAGCAGCCUCACCAUAAGCAGUGCUGUACAGAUUUCCGAAUACGGCCUCUGUUACUGGUCUACCAGGGUGUUGGCGAUGCCAUGACUGCACAAUUGAAUUGUAUCGUGAGCUUAAGGAUUUAAAAAAAGAAAUAUCUAGUGGCUACAUUUUAUGGGUACAAUGACUUGGAAGACUUGAUAUAAUCUCAUUGUUUCUGCGAGCUUUUAAUAUCACUUUUAUGUUCUUUACAUGACAGCUAUGACCAUAAUGUAAGUAAAGUUGACGUAUUGCAGUUUGAUGGUUGAGUAAAUUAUAAGAAGUGGUCAAACCAGAUAUAAAACAGUUCUUCAUUUAUCUAACCAUUCUUUGUUGCAACUCCAAGUGCUCCUUAGGGUGCUUGAUCCAUAAAAGAUGGCUUUAUGCGUACACGAGGAAAAAUAAUCAUGAGGCACAUAUACUCCAACAGCACUCACACAGCAUAAGACUGUAAUGGUUUUGCCUUUUUCUAAACUUGUUAUUGCUCCAACUGAUCUCUUUCCUUUCAGAGCAACAAUUUGCCAGGAGUAUGACAAACUGAAAAGCCACUUUCAUCAGCAUUAUAGAUGUGACUUGGUGGGAUUACAAUUUUACCAUACUGAUUAAAUAUAAUUGACUCUGAGGCAUCAAAAAAAACGAUCAACUUUUUCCUUGUUAAAUCCGAAUGCACGUGCGAUCAAAGUCGGUUCUGGUUUCUUGAAGAUAAGUUUGAGUUU
rnacentral:misc_RNA from 1 species